UACGUAGGGUGCGAGCGUUAAUCGGAAUUACUGGGCGUAAAGCGUGCGCAGGCGGUUAUUUAAGUCAGGUGUGAAAGCCCUGGGCUUAACCUAGGAAUUGCGCUUGAGACUGGAUAGCUUGGAGUGCGGCAGAGGGAGGUGGAAUUCCACGUGUAGCAGUGAAAUGCGUAGAGAUGUGGAGGAACACCGGUGGCGAAGGCGGCAUCCUGGACCGGCAUUGACGCUGAGGCGCGAAAGCCAGGGGAGCAAACAGG
rnacentral:rRNA from 1 species